UACGAAGGGGGCUAGCGUUGCUCGGAUUUACUGGGCGUAAAGGGCGCGUAGGCGGACAGUUUAGUCAGAGGUGAAAGCCCGGGGCUCAACCUCGGAAUUGCCUUUGAUACUGGCUGUCUUGAGUAUGGAAGAGGUAUGUGGAACUCCGAGUGUAGAGGUGAAAUUCGUAGAUAUUCGGAAGAACACCAGUGGCGAAGGCGACAUACUGGUCCAUUACUGACGCUGAGGCGCGAAAGCGUGGGGGAGCAAACAGG
rnacentral:rRNA from 1 species